GGGACUAGCUAACAGUCGUGGGUCGUGGGUCGUGGGUAGAAUGUCGUGGGUCGUGGGUAGAAUGUCGUGGGUCGUGGGUAGAAUGUCGUGGGUCGUGGGUAGAAUGUCGUGGGUCGUGGGUAAAAAGUCGUGGGUCGUGGGUAAAAAGUCGUAAGUCGUGGGUAAAAAGUCGUAAGUCGUGGGUAAAAAGGCGUGGGUCGUGGGUAAAUAGGCGUGGGUCGUGGGUAAAAAGGCGUGGGUCGUGGGUAAAAAGGCGUGGGUCGUGGGUAAAAAGGCGUGGGUCGUGGGUAAAAAGGCGUGGGUCGUGGGUAAAAAGGCGUGGGUCCCGAAUAAAAAGGCGUGAAUUCCAAGCAAAAUAUUUCCAUAUAUUUACCUUUCUCCCUUUGGAAUGGUAUUUUUUUUUUUCUUCUGAGACUUUCCCAAACUAUGCCCAAAUAUGCAUAGCUUAGAGCGCGUUAAGGCCGGGUUUUUGAUAUCGGC